AAAAUAAAUAGAUAUUCUAAAAGUUUUAGUAUUUAAUCCUGAAUUCAGUACUUGCUCGGACAAAGAAUGUAGUUCUGUUUUCUGCAAUGACAAGGGUCGUUGUGAGGAGGAGAAUGAAGGCCCUGUCUGCCAUUGCAAGGACGGAUACUCCGGGACUAGAUGUGAACUUGAACCUGGAUAUGGUGAAUAUCUAGGAGAAGAAUGUAACCAAUACGAGGACUGUAAACCCUGCUCAGGAGAUUGUAGAGUUCCAGACUUUACUGGAGAUUCAUUCCUAGUCCUUCCAUUGCAGGGAAGUAUGGCUCGGGAGUUCACGCUUGAAGUUUGGGUUUUGGUUCGUUCUUUAAACGGAUGCAUUCUCUACAGUGGGGCCAGCCA